UUCAAAUUUGACGGAAAAUGCAUGAUGUGUUUGGAAUAAUUUAGAAGAAGAAUCCCUCAAAAUUACCAUCGAAGGAUAUGCAAGUCUCGAAAGAAACAUGUAUAACACCCCAUCGUUUUGAUUUAGAAUCAACUUCUAUGGAUGAAGACAACUAUCCUUUUAUAACUGGGGGAAGUAGAUAUUCC